UUUCCUACUAUUUUCUGCUCCUUUCUUCCUCCUGUCGUAAGGAAUAGUAGCUCCAAGAGUGAUACGUUUUAUCCAGCCAGACAUGGAAGCUUUAGCCAGGCUCAACCAAACAUAUGCAAUCCUUUCAUGGAGGACUCCCACCAGCCUCAGUGCUGCCGGCCCGCGGCCCGGACUAGUGACUCUUCUGUAAACUACCAAACGAGGCGACUCCACCAGUUGAGGCAGUUAUUCUUGUUCUCUCCUUCAUCUGGUCUCUACUCUUGUCCUCUUCCUAUGACUGAUGGAGGAGCUAGACUAAUUGAAUUGAGUUAUGCUGAUAUGUUGAAGAGAGUUGAUCCGUUAUGUAAAGAAUUGAAAGAUUUGGAAACCAAAGCUGAGGACACUCGUCAAAAAAGGAGAAGAAAUAACAAAAAUAAUAGCAGAACUUGAAGCCUCUAUAGCAAAAUAUAAAGAAGAAUAUGCAAUGGUUAUAUCUGAUGCUAGUGUUAUUAAGAAUGAUUUAUCAACUGUUGAG